CCAAUUUUGUCGAAUGUCCCCGAUUUAUUCUAUAGGUUGUACAACUGUGUCCUUGAGUUCUAAGGAUACAAGAACCAUAAUUGGGUGGAUGAACCAUUGCCAUGUGUCUAGAGCAUGAUUAACAGUUCAACGAUCCUUCGAAUCUGAGGCGAUAGAUGAUCGCUCUCGGCAAGGCUUGUCCUGGCUGGGAUGGUCGCAUGGCAGUCUAACAGAUU